AACAGAUCCGGGCGACGCGAGCUGACCUCGUCUGCUGCUGCCCUUUUUCGUUCUCUCUUUCUUUAUUUUGGAGUUUCAGAAAAAAAUUAUAUUUGGAAGACAUUUUUUUUUUUUUCGUAAAUGGCGCUGGCCCCGGGUCAGCGGGCGGUUUUCUCUGCACCAAGAUGGGCUUCGCCUUUUCCGUCGUGGGCACUCUUGGUGGCUUGAUUGUCAGUCUUCUCCGGGCAUUUUUGAGACCAGGAGCCGAGCACUGCACAUAGGUGACUCGCCCUCCGGAGCGGCUGGGCGUCUUGGAUUGGGACUUGGGGGGGCAGAGUGCAGUAAAUUGCGAGCACCGCGUGCUCUCUGCAAAACCGGCGGCGAGCCGGAGGUAGGUCGCUCCCAGGGUGAAACCGCUCCCGGGCUGAGCGAGCCCGGCCCCGUGCGCAGUGCAGCCGCCCCGAGAGCGUGUCCUGUCCCCGCCGCGCCGGGAAAAUGGAGGCUGUGAUCGAGAAGGAAUGCAGCGCGCUUGGAGGCCUCUUCCAGACCAUCAUCAGCGACAUGAAGGUAGGACGCUGGGGGCGCGGCUGCUCUGACCUCGCCGCGGGGCUUCCCCUCCACCGCGGCCGGCCUGGCCCUCGCCGGCGCUGCCGGCCACCUGCGGGAGCUCUGGCGACCCGGGUGUCACCUUCUUACCCGCCGCACUGCUCCGGCUGUGCUGGGUCACUGGGCAGGCGACUUCCCGGGGGCUAGUGGGGGAGAGUCUGAUGCCACUUACCAACCCCUGCAUUCAUAAUCCCAGGGGGCGACACCAUCUUGUUCCUUUGGGGGUUUAGGGCCCUAGUUCCAAGUUUUCCAUUGUCUGUCCCUGGACUGAGUGUCUGCGACCCGUGGAGGAUGGACGCCCUGGAGGACACCUGACUCCCUGGGUUUGGGGUGGAGUGCUUGGCGCGGUGGUGGAGCGGUAGUGGGGGCCCCUGCUUGGCUGCAGGAAAGAGUCUUCCGGCCUGGGAGAUUGGGUGGCAGGGUUGUUACAAGCUUGGCUUUCAGGUCUACCUGGAGUAGGGGAAUCUGAGCAAAUUAGUUAUUAAUUAGUCUGUUCCAGAGCUGCUGAUGGUGUUCCUUGCAUUCCCCAUACCCUCCCCCGGGGCUUGGCGCAGAAGUUCCCAGGGACCCCGAGCCUGAGAGGCUCACAACAGGAAGGCAAGGUUGAGGUUUCCAAAACUACUAUACCCAGCUCUCUCAAACACACAUCCACACCCCACUCUUCUCUGGGAAGGAUUGUGUGUGCGUGUGAGUGCGCGCGAGUGUGUUGGGGGCGGGGAACAACCCUAGCCUUUUCCUGCAAAGGGUGGGACUGGAGAUAACCUGAUCCUCGAUUGUGGGUUUUCUGGUGCUCAGAGGUACACCGUGACUUAGGUUACCCACCCUAAUAAGAUAGAAGCAGUUCCAGGAGCUGCCUGGAAGUGGGAAUUGGGGGCGGUAGUGGGGGGCAUUUUUUUCCAGUGUAUUUAGGGAGCUUCUCUUUGGCUCGAGGCCAGCCCCAGUCUGCCUCAACAGAUCCGGGGAGGUGGUGUUUAAUUAAGCGCUCGGCUUCCAAAAGAGUGGGCAGGUUUGGAAAGCUGUGUUGGCGAGUGGGUGUGGACAGCCCCUCUUCAGCCGCUGCCUGGCGCCUGGGGAAGCUUUUGUCUGAUGAAGUGUAAGGUUUGGAGAGGCCGUGGGCCUUCGCCAUGGACUUUGGGGAGGAAUGUUCAGCUGUCAUGCCUGCCUCCUCCUUUUAGAACCAACUGUCACCUCAUCUAGUGUGAACUUUGCCAAGGUGCCUGGUUGGUCCCCCUCAGGUCCAUUUUGCAAGCCUACCAAGCUCGUGCCUUUUGUCAGAAAUCCUUGUAGCCUAAUCUGUAGCCAGAGCCUGCUCGCCCAGGAAUGCCUCUAAUCCAGUGGUUUGGAAUUAGAUGGAUUAGUCUCUUCAAAGACAGCCCCUUUCAUUCCUUUGCCCUCAAUCCACAUUGAAUUAUCGAAGUGUUCUUUUGAACAAAGAUUGAUGCCCCUGCUUGGACUCUGGUGUUUAUUGUUAACUUAAAUUUCACCCACUUUACUAGAGUCAAAACAAGAUUUGGUUUGAGGCACACACACUGUAUGUUGUGAUGUGCAGAGGAGUUUUUUUUUUUUUUUUUUGAGGAGGUAAUGAUGUUUCCAGUCCCUGAAUAGAAAUGAGGAAUCCAGGGAUCUAAACCGAUCCCUGACUUCAGCCCCAGAGUAAUCACACCUGGAGUUUUCUCUACCUUUGAUGAUGAUGACGACUACGACUAUGACUGUUGUUAUUUUAAUCCAAAAUCAGGGCUCAGUUCUUUUCAGUAGGUGGUUUGAACCCAAAGCCCUUCAGAAGGUAAUCCUUCCCCAAGGAUGGGGUUGUGCCACCUUCCACCCACCAGCUGGAUGCCUGGUGUAGGCCCUGCCUAGACAUUUGUAGGUGGAAGACCUCUUACACACCGCUCUAGUCUCUUUCUCUUUGAGUUUGGUAGAUUUUUUUCCCCACUUGACAGUAGAAUAUUUCAGACUGGAGGCACAGCAGAAAACUACAUUGUGCUUUGGAUUCUGAUUUUAGGCCCUUUGGGGGAAGAGAGGGAUCGGGGAGAGAGAGCAUGCAGGUUGUCUGAUUUCUAAGGUUGUUUUAUGCGAAAGGGAACUGCUAAAUAUUUACAUGGAGUUUUCUUCCUUAGAAGCCUUCUUUUAUGGAGUGGCCAGCGAUGACACUUCAAAAGAGAAGUGACAAGAUUAAAUUGGGCUUUUUAGGACAGACAGCAUAGGAUAUAUGGAUAUGUGGCGUUGUCGGCAAGAAAGUCAGUCAUUGUGGUGACCUCCUUGUCCUUCCCAUCUUUAAACUCGUGACCAGCUUAUCAUAUUUUUGGUUCCCUUUCUGUUUGCUUUUAGGGAGAAGCCAUUUGGAUUGUCAUCAUGGUACCAUUUUUAGGGCUUUUUUUUUUUUUUUUUUUUUUUUUAAAGUGAUGUUAAAUUGGGGUGAGAAAAAGGCUAAGAACUUUUUUUUUUCUGAAUAGCUUUUGAGACUUCAUAAUGUACAGCAACACAGGAAGGGAGUCAGUUUCCUCUUUGGAGAAAAAUAAAAAGAUAACAAGAGAGUGGAAUAGUUUCCACGCCUGUGCCAUCCAUCUUUCUUCUGAGGCAAAGACCCUCGAGACACAGCAAAGCCCCGGAGAGGUUUCUCUGCUUCCUGCAAAGGUUCUCGGUGGGACUGAGUCCUGGGCUGUCAGGGCCUGUGUUUCUUUCUCUCAGGGCUAGGGGGAGGAAGAAGUUGUCACUUUGCCUCCAUCAGGAUCCAGCCCCAAGGAAAGCAAGCAGCAGCUGCUAAAAAACUUAUUGAUUCCUUGAGGAGAAGAAACCUCUGCUCCCCCUCCCUCCCACCCUGCUGUGGUGGUGGUCACUAAUGAAGGACAAUGUGCAAAAUCACUCACUGCCUGUCUUCCCUGGGAUCCACGGAAAUCACCCUUAGGGCUGCCUGCUGUGAGUAGGUCUCUCCCCAAAAAGUGGGGAGGGCUGAGCUGUUGGUUUAUCUGGGGGGACAGUGGUCUGGAGGUGACUGUUGACUCUCAAAGAGGUCUUAGAAUCUUUUUUAUUCCUAUCCAAGUUCUGGAUAGAACUGGAUCUUAGUAAGGUAAACAGAUUAGUGUUGUUUGUUUUGAAUCAUUAGACCAGAAUUUGACCAUGUUUCCGUGCUUUCUAAGUUCCAGAGACUUUGCUAGCUAGACUUAAAGAGUAUCUCGCCCCGGGGACAGCGGUCUCCUUUUAAUAAUUAACUUAUUUUAAAAAAAGAAG
rnacentral:lncRNA from 1 species